rnacentral:rRNA from 1 species
GAUCCUGGCUCAGGAUGAACGCUAGCUACAGGCUUAACACAUGCAAGUCGAGGGGCAGCGGGAUUGAAGCUUGCUUCAAUUGCCGGCGACCGGCGCACGGGUGAGUAACGCGUAUCCAACCUUCCGUACACUCAGGGAUAGCCUUUCGAAGAAAGAUUAAUACCUGAUGGUAUCUUAAGCACACAUGUAAUUAAGAUUAAAGAUUUAUCGGUGUACGAUGGGAUGCGUUCCAUUAGGGUAGUAGGG